UACGUAGGGUGCAAGCGUUAAUCGGAAUUACUGGGCGUAAAGCGUGCGUAGUCGGUUAUCUAAGUCGGAUGUGAAAUCCCCGGGCUCAACCUGGGAAUUGCAUUCGAAACUGAAUAGCUAGAGUUCGGCAGAGGGAAGUGGAAUUUCCGGUGUAGCGGUGAAAUGCGUAGAUAUCGGAAGGAACAUCAGUGGCGAAAGCGACUUCCUGGACCAGAACUGACGAUCAGGCACGAAAGCGUGGGGAGCAAACAGG
rnacentral:rRNA from 1 species